GACGAACGCUGGCGGCGUGCUUAACACAUGCAAGUCGAACGGAAAGGCCCUGCUUUUGUGGGGUGCUCGAGUGGCGAACGGGUGAGUAACACGUGAGUAACCUGCCCUUGACUUUGGGAUAACUUCAGGAAACUGGGGCUAAUACCGGAUAGGAGCUCCUGCUGCAUGGUGGGGGUUGGAAAGUUUCGGCGGUUGGGGAUGGACUCGCGGCUUAUCAGCUUGUUGGUGGGGUAGUGGCUUACCAAGGCUUUGACGGGUAGCCGGCCUGAGAGGGUGACCGGCCACAUUGGGACUGAGAUACGGCCCAGACUCCUACGGGAGGCAGCAGUGGGGAAUAUUGCACAAUGGGCGGAAGCCUGAUGCAGCAACGCCGCGUGCGGGAUGACGGCCUUCGGGUUGUAAACCGCUUUCGCCUGUGACGAAGCGUGAGUGACGGUAAUGGGUAAAGAAGCACCGGCUAACUACGUGCCAGCAGCCGCGGUGAUACGUAGGGUGCGAGCGUUGUCCGGAUUUAUUGGGCGUAAAGGGCUCGUAGGUGGUUGAUCGCGUCGGAAGUGUAAUCUUGGGGCUUAACCCUGAGCGUGCUUUCGAUACGGGUUGACUUGAGGAAGGUAGGGGAGAAUGGAAUUCCUGGUGGAGCGGUGGAAUGCGCAGAUAUCAGGAGGAACGCCAGUGGCGAAGGCGGUUCUCUGGGCCUUUCCUGACGCUGAGGAGCGAAAGCGUGGGGAGCGAACAGGCUUAGAUACCCUGGUAGUCCACGCUGUAAACGGUGGGUACUAGGUGUGGGGUCCAUUCCACGGGUUCCGUGCCGUAGCUAACGCUUUAAGUACCCCGCCUGGGGAGUACGGCCGCAAGGCUAAAACUCAAAGGAAUUGACGGGGCCCCGCACAAGCGGCGGAGCAUGCGGAUUAAUUCGAUGCAACGCGUAGAACCUUACCUGGGUUUGACAUGGAUCGGGAGCGCUCAGAGAUGGGUGUGCCUCUUUUGGGGUCGGUUCACAGGUGGUGCAUGGCUGUCGUCAGCUCGUGUCGUGAGAUGUUGGGUUAAGUCCCGCAACGAGCGCAACCCUUGUUCACUGUUGCCAGCACGUUAUGGUGGGGACUCAGUGGAGACCGCCGGGGUCAACUCGGAGGAAGGUGGGGAUGACGUCAAGUCAUCAUGCCCCUUAUGUCCAGGGCUUCACGCAUGCUACAAUGGCUGGUACAGAGAGUGGCGAGCCUGUGAGGGUGAGCGAAUCUCGGAAAGCCGGUCUCAGUUCGGAUUGGGGUCUGCAACUCGACCUCAUGAAGUCGGAGUCGCUAGUAAUCGCAGAUCAGCAACGCUGCGGUGAAUACGUUCCCGGG
rnacentral:rRNA from 1 species